AUGCAACACUGGACAAGAUGCUAUGUGUGGAGCUCUGCACUGGAAGCUGCAGAUACAGCCAUGAGUGGAGGAUCGGGGUCUGGGUCUGUAAGCACUAAGAGCCUGAGCAGUGGGCCAGUGCUCCAAUGAAGCCAGAGGCCUCCUGGGUCCUGACACAGCUGGGGAUGGGAUUUGACAAAGGCCUGCAAACCGAAGCUGGACAACUUGAUAUAAAUCUGGAAGGACUCACCAUCACUGCAGACCAUGCAUGAGAAGGAAUGAUGUUCCUUGUGCCCAGGAAGCUAGGGAGACGUAUGAGAAGAAAGGAUGGCCUGUUAUGUGUAGUGACCUGAUGGAGACAGCCAUUCCACUCAGCCUCAUCCAAGGACAUGGGGACACAACAAGGGACCUCACGAGAUCGCUUUACAGACCAGUUGGUCCGGAGGCACAUUUCUUCUGCAGGGAUUGGCAAGGAAGAUUUCAGUCUUCAAGGUCUGUUGCUGGGCCUGGGCAAUGGAUGCGUU
rnacentral:lncRNA from 10 species